GGAAUGGUCGCAUGUCUGCUACUCCUGAUGGGAUGAAAGGUGUUCUCGAAGUUUCUAGAGAUAAGAGAAAGGGAUGUGUGCUUUGGAUCCUGAAAUACUGAGAUUUCUUAGACACCGAGAAAAAAACGGGAAACCAUCAAAAUUGUGCUUGAAGUGACCACCAGCUUCAGAAUCGCGCAGUGUUUGAUAAAAAUCACAGAAUCCUUUCCAAGCAGGAGCUGGUGAGACUUGGAAAUCUGCAUUUUGAGCAUCUAAGGAGUGUGAUGGAGGCUGUAAUCCAAUCCUAGAGGAACACUGGACUAUUAGAGAAGAAAUCUGUUGUUGGAAUCACAUCAACCUUGGCUCUUCCAGCAGUGAGAAGCUCCCAUCAUGGUAAUUGUCAACUGGCUGGCAUCGUGGAUGGAACCAAAGUAAAAUAACUCAUUAUGAACAGAGAAGAAGAAGAGGCAGAAGGUCAAAGUGGAAAAUAGAAGCUUUAUAUUUCGAUGCAGCAGAUGAUUAGUGAAGAUUGGGCUACAUAUCUCUAAGAUAGAAGGACUCAAGGGCCAAGGCAUGCAGGUGACCGCUAGAAGCUGGAAAAGAGCGGGAAACAGAUUCUCUCCUAGAACCUACUGGAAGAAACACAGCUCUACUGAUGUCUUGAUUUUAGCACCACGAGUCUGUCAUCGGGCUUCUGACUUCGAGAACCCUAAGGUCCCUGAGGCUCUGUUCCAUCUUUAUCUCCAAGUUCAGAUUGGAUAAUUUCCAUCAAUCCACCUUCAAGUUCGUGGACUCUCUUCUGUCGUCUUCAUUCUGCCACUAAGUUCACACAUGCCUUAUAGCCAAUUAGUUACGCAGCAGAAAUG